UAAUCGCGGAUCAGCAUGCCGCGGUGAAUACGUUCCCGGGCCUUGUACACACCGCCCGUCACACCAUGAGAGUCGGGAACACCCGAAGUCCGUAGCCUAACCGCAAGGAGGGCGCGGCCGAAGGUGGGUUCGAUAAUUGGGGUGAAGUCGUAACAAGGUAGC
rnacentral:rRNA from 1 species